rnacentral:rRNA from 1 species
GUGGGGAAUCUUGCGCAAUGGGCGAAAGCCUGACGCAGCCAUGCCGCGUGAAUGAUGAAGGUCUUAGGAUUGUAAAAUUCUUUCACCGGGGACGAUAAUGACGGUACCCGGAGAAGAAGCCCCGGCUAACUUCGUGCCAGCAGCCGCGGUAAUACGAAGGGGGCUAGCGUUGCUCGGAAUUACUGGGCGUAAAGGGCGCGUAGGCGGACAGUUUAGUCAGAGGUGAAAGCCCAGGGCUCAACCUUGGAAUUGCCUUUGAUACUGGCUGUCUUGAGUACGGGAGAGGUGAGUGGAACUCCGGGUGUAGAGGUGAAAUUCGUAGAUAUUCGGAAGAACACCAGUGGCGAAGGCGACUCACUGGCCCGUUACUGACGCUGAGGCGCGAAAGCGUGGGGAGCAAACAGGAUUAGAAACCCCUGUAGUCC